AAAGGAAUUGACAAGACACCACCAAGAAUGGAGCCUAUGGCUUAAUUUGACUAAACACAAAAAACUUACCAAGUCCAAACAUAGUAAGGAUUGACAAAUUGAGAGCUCUUUCUUAAUUGUAUGGGUAGUGUUGCACGGUUGUUCUUAGUUGAUGGAGCAGUUUGUCUAGUUAAUUCCAAUACCAAACAAGACCUCACCUUGCUCACUAACUAUGCAAAGAUUCCCCUUUGUGACCAACUGCUUAAAAAGACUAUGGUCAUUUAGGGCAUGGAAGUUUGAGGCAAUGGCAAAUAUCUAAUGUGCUUAAAUGUUCAAAAUUGCACAAGCACUACACUAAUGCAGUGAACGAGUUUUUCUUCUUGGUUCAAGAGGUCAAAAAAAUCUUAUCAAAUUGCAUCCUAAUGGGAAUAGAUCAUUGCAAUUAUUGGUCUUCAACAAGGAAUUCCAAAUAAGUGUGUAAUCAAUGCAUGUUGACUACAUCCCUAUCCUUUGUAUA
rnacentral:ncRNA from 1 species